AAUUCAGUGAAUCAUCGAAUCUUUGAACGCACAUUGCGCCCGCCAGCAUUCUGGCGGGCAUGCCUGUUCGAGCGUCAUUUCAACACUCGCGCCCAUCCGGGCUGCGGCGUUGGGGACCGGCAACCGACCUCCGCCAUCCGCGGAGGGCGCGCCGCCCCCCAAAUACAGUGGCGGUCUCGCUGCGGCCUCCCUUGCGUAGUAGCACACCUCGCACUGGAGCGCAGCAUGGCCACGCCGUGAAACACCCAACUUCUGAAGAUUGACCUCGGAUCAGGUAGGAAUACCCGCUGAACUUAAGCAUAUCAAUAAGCGGAGGAAAAGAAACCAACAGGGAUUGCCUCAGUAACGGCGAGUGAAGCGGCAACAGCUCAAAUUCGAAAUCUGGCCCCCAGGGUCCGAGUUGUAAUUUGUAGAGGAUGCUUUUGGCGCGGUGCCUUCCGAGUUCCCUGGAACGGGACGCCAUAGAGGGUGAGAGCCCCGUCUGGUUGGACACCAAGCCUCUGUAAAGCUCCUUCGACGAGUCGAGUAGUUUGGGAAUGCUGCUCUAAAUGGGAGGUAUAUGUCUUCUAAAGCUAAAUACCGGCCAGAGACCGAUAGCGCACAAGUAGAGUGAUCGAAAGAUGAAAAGCACUUUGAAAAGAGGGUUAAAUAGUACGUGAAAUUGUUGAAAGGGAAGCGCUUGUGACCAGACUUGGGCCCGGUUGAUCAUCCAGCGUUCUCGCUGGUGCACUCUGCCGGCCCAGGCCAGCAUCAGUUCGCGCCGGGGGAUAAAGGUAGCGGGAAUGUGGCUCCCUCGGGAGUGUUAUAGCCCGUUGCGUAAUACCUGGUGCGGACUGAGGUUCGCGCUCCGMAGGAUGCUGGCGUAAUGUCAUCA
rnacentral:rRNA from 1 species